rnacentral:rRNA from 1 species
GACGAACGCUGGCGGCGUGCUUAACACAUGCAAGUCGAACGGAAAGGCCCUGCUUUUGUGGGGUGCUCGAGUGGCGAACGGGUGAGUAACACGUGAGUAACCUGUCCUUGACUUUGGGAUAUCUUCAGGAAACUGGGGCUAAUACCGGAUAGGAGCUACUGCUGCAUGGUGGGGGUUGGAAAGUUUCGGCGGUUGGGGAUGGACUCGCGGCUUAUCAGCUUGUUGGGGGGGUAGUGGCUUACCAAGGCUUUGACGGGUAGCCGGCCUGAGAGGGUGACCGGCCACAUUGGGACUGAGAUACGGCCCAGACUCCUACGGGAGGCAGCAGUGGGGAAUAUUGCACAAUGGGCGGAAGCCUGAUGCAGCAACGCCGCGUGCGGGAUGACGGCCUUCGGGUUGUAAACCGCUUUCGCCUUUGACGAAGCGUGAGUGACGGUAAUGGGUAAAGAAGCACCGGCUAACUACGUG